rnacentral:rRNA from 1 species
AUGUUUUUCGUGCUUAUCCAUUUAACCGGAGUGUUGUGUUCUCAUUCAAGUUCUUUCAAGUUAUCAAGUUUUGCCUUUCUUUUCAACCCGAGUGCUGUCUGGAAUCCUUCUUACCCAUUGUGCCAUUCUUUCAAUAGUUUCGGAGGCAGUGUGUUGUUGAUUUCAUCAAGUAUCUUCCCAUCUUCUCAAGUUCAUGUUCUAUUCCUUCCAUGUUCAACCGGAGUGCUGCCCGAAUUCUUCCUCUCUCAUCUUGUUUUAACCGGAGUGGUUUCGAAUGCUAUCUUGUCCAUUAAACUCUUGAUUCAUGUCUUUGCAACCUUCAAGGUUCUCAUAAUGUUGCUUGUUCCUCGUGUUUAA